rnacentral:misc_RNA from 1 species
CGAACCGCGAUAAUUAAUAUAAAUUGCAGAAUUUAGUAAAUCAUCGAGUCUUUGAACGCACAUUACGCCCAUUGGUAUUCUUUUGGGCAUAUCUGUUUAAGCGUUAUUAUAAUCCUCAGCUAACCGCUAUUUUUGAACCUGAACGGGUAACAUCGCACCAAUUUUAAAGUUGUAAGCUCUACUAGUUGUUCUGCCCAACCAGAACAUAGUAAGCACUACUUAUCCGGGUAAAGCUGAAUGGUACAACCUAAAUAAAACCUACCCACUCUCAAAGUUUAACUUCAGAUUAGACAAGGAUACCCGCUAAACUUAAGC